AACAUAUAGCACAGUUAGAAGCGCAUUGGGCUCAUAUCCCCAAGGUCCCAGGAUCAAGACCUGGUCAUGCUA